rnacentral:rRNA from 1 species
UACGUAGGUGGCAAGCGUUGUCCGGAAUUACUGGGCGUAAAGCGUGCGCAGGCGGUUCGUUGUGUCGGCGGUGAAAGCCCCGGGCUCAACCUGGGAAUGGCCGUUGAAACUGGCGAACUGGAGUGUGGCAGAGGGGGGUGGAAUUCCGCGUGUAGCAGUGAAAUGCGUAGAGAUGUGGAGGAACACCGAUGGCGAAGGCAGCCCCCUGGGCUAAGAUUGACGCUCAGGCACGAAAGCGUGGGGAGCAAACAGG